rnacentral:lncRNA from 1 species
UAAAUGUGAACAAACCCUCACGAUUCAAACAAAAUGGGCUACAUCCUACAGCUUGUCCCAACAAGGAUAUAGAAAAGAAUCCUACGUACAUCCCAUACUUGAAACAACAUGAACAAAGACAAACAUCCUGUUUCAUAUACUGAUACUUAACAAAUCAAGCAAAGUUCCCAAAUACCAUGCUGAUUUCGACAGACUUAAACAAAUAUGGAAAUUACUUAAUCCGACUCAAACCUAUGCUGCAAUAGAUCCAAUAGUCUUAAAUGUCCAAAAAAAAACACUUCAAUAACUUUACAAACCAAACCUACUGAAUUUAAACAACUAUCCAAACUUACAAACCAGAUUUAAUCUAAUAACAUAAAUGAACAAGUAAAUAUAUGAAAAGGAACUAAACUACUACAGAAUUAAGUGAGUUUAAGAACACAAGAAUGGCAUUUGAUGAACAUAUAUGCCAUAAAUUUCCAACUUAAUCAACAGAUGCAAAUCCUUUCAUUUCAACAUGUCAAAUGAGGUUUAUUAAGUACCUGGUUACAACAACAAAACAACAAUAAAAUGAGCUUGAAAUUAAGAAGAGGAUAGCAGCACUGUAUCAGCAACAAGCAGCACAACCCACAAUCAGUUUUACACCAUUUUUGAACCCAGAUUAACACAAUUUUUUCGAGUUUCAAUAGAAUCUGACUAACAGAGGAAGUCAAAGAGCCAAACCAAGCAAAUUUUGAUAUUUUCAGAAUCGCAAAAAUGCUCAGCCAUUUCUAAGUUUUUCAGCUUUUAAAUCUCUAAAGUCUUCCUUGGCUAUGAAGGAAACAAUGCAUUUUAUAGAAAGCCUCUAGGGCAGCAGAAAUGCUUUCAAUUUUUAGCCAUUACCCCUUCUCCAAUUUUUAUUUUUUUUCACUUUAACCCUGAUUUUCUAGCCUGUUUAUCAAAACAAUCCUUUUUUCCACUUUCCUGGAAGUUUCCUAGUUGGUUAAACAAGAUUCUCCUUGUUAAAUUCCCUAAACUACCUUUUAGACUCUGCUAUUUACCUUCAGAAGAUCACAUGGGUCAAAUUUGACCCAAGACUUAAACAGGCUUCUUAAAACAGGUCAGAGAUGGCCUCAAAGCCCAAUCAAACAAACUGACCCAAAUCAAAGAAUCAACUUCAGUAGUUUAGAAAGAAAGAAAAAGGAAACAAAUAUAGGAUUACAUGAUAUCAACAUCAAAACAUGACUGAACAAACAACUUAUGAGACUAAACUAAAUAAACUAGAAUUAAAUCAGAUUAACAAAUCGAACCAAACCUAAUUAACCUAAUCAGAAGAUUAGAACAAGAAGGACUCUCAGAUGAACACACUUAACUAAUGGACUAAACAAAAUCAAAACCUUCUGACUUGAACAACACAUAACAAAAAAUAAAUGAAAGAGUGGCAAGAAACAGAAUCAGGAAUCAAGUAAAACAAGGUUUAAAGAGGGACUGACGAGAUAAAGAAAAACGAGCAUGCAAUCAAAAUGGGAAGCAAGUGUUGUUUUACCAGAAGCCACGAAUGAGUCUAUAACAACAUCACUUGAUAACUUCAUCGGCGUCUUUCGAUUUGAGAUGAAAUUGGUAUCAUUUGCACGUUCUGUUGAGAACAAACGAACAACACAAAUUUCAACUCUAAUCGCUCUUGGAAACAUGACGAUUUGGGAGAUUUGGGGAUUUAAAGUUUGGGGUGUCGACCUCAGAUCUGAAAUUCGAGGCGAUGGGGAGGGAUUUGAGGGGAAUUAUUUUGGGGUUUAGGAAGAGGAGGGGUUGGGGUUAUGGGGUGCGAUUUUGGAGGAAGUUUGGGGUGGCGCCACCACCGGAGAGGGUGAGGAGUGUUAGGGCGGCGUUUAGGGUUCUUGAAUCUCUGAAGGGAGAUGAUGAGUGAAAGGGAAUGAAACGGGGGGUGGUCUAGGUUAGGAC